ACAUAAAUAUAUACAGAUAAAUCAACAGACGAGAUCCAAAGAUUCUCAAUAUAGAAAGCACUAAGUAGCGCUCAAAUGAUUUGAGCUUACACUCCGAAAUCUUUGCCGAGGACCAAGUCCUAAGAGUAAAGUGUGGCUUCAAGAGGAAUCCGGGUGAGCACGUAUGGAGUUAAUUAU